CUCGCUGCUCUUGUGCCCGCGGUGCUACUGACGGUUGCUCUAGAUCCGUUCAUCCUGGUGGUUUUGUGAGGUCGAAAGCGGCGAGCGAAUUAGAAGAUGCUGGACAAGCUGUGGGACGACGUGGUGGCCGGGCCUCGCCCGGAGACGGGCCUCGAGAAGCUCCGCAAGGCCACCACCGCCCGCCCGCUCGUCAUCAACAAAGGUACUUACUGAGCUAUACUGCUGAUCGUGUCGGGGAUCGGGAUGGAGUCGAACAAGUACCAGCGGCAAGCAACUAAUAACAGUAGGAAAUUAAUGAAUGGAUCUCUCCACUCUAACUAACAAUAAUAUGUGUAAAUUAAAGACGCGGACGGCGGCAGCUACAAGCGGGCGCAGUCGAUGCCGUCGACCCCGACGACGCCGGUGACGCCGUCGUCGUCGUCGUCGUCGACGACGCCGCGCGGCGCCGGCAACGUGUGGCGCAGCGUCUUCCACCCGGGGAGCAACCUGGCCACCAAGGGCAUGGGCGCCAACCUCUUCGACCGGCCGCAGCCCAACUCCCCCACCGUCUACGACUGGUGAGCAGCACCGUCUCCGUCGUCUCCAUCUCUUGCCCAGCCUAGCUACGUGCGUGGUCUGCGUGCUCAAACAGGACAGCAGCAGCAGAUCCAGGACCAAACUAAUUGAGCAAGAACCACGCGAAUGGUUCGAUUUUAUUUUUUUUUUAAAAAAAAUCAGUUUUUCAUGUGUGUAAUAAUUUCUCAGGCUCUACAGCGACGAGACCAGGAGCAACCACCGCUAGAUCGGGCGAGAUGGAUGGACAGUGAAGAGGCCAUGUUUGCUGGUCCUUGUGGUUAUCUAAAACGCACGCAUGCUCUAUUAUAGCUAGUCAUCACUAUAUAUAUACUUGUGUUUGUGUAUUGUUGUUCUUGUUCUGCUGGUGUCUCCGCCGUUUAAUUUGACCUAUGUUAUGGAGUGAGUGAUAUAUGUGCCGUCACUCCUAGUAUAUAGUAGUGAGUGACUAGUUGGUAUGUGUAGUACUGUACUAUCUUUUCUCCAUAUGCAUGUUUUGCCAGCGCGUAAUGAAUGUAAUGUCAGUACUGCUACUACGUGCUCUGCUA
rnacentral:lncRNA from 1 species